GGCCCACCAAGGCGACGAUCAGUAGGGGUUCUGAGAGGAAGGUCCCCCACAUUGGAACUGAGACACGGUCCAAACUCCUACGGGAGGCAGCAGUGAGGAGUAUUGGUCAAUGGACGAGAGUCUGAACCAGCCAAGUAGCGUGCAGGAUGACGGCCCUAUGGGUUGUAAACUGCUUUUAUAAGGGAAUAAAGUGAGUCUCGUGAGACUUUUUGCAUGUACCUUAUGAAUAAGGACCGGCUAAUUCCGUGCCAGCAGCCGCGGUAAUACGGAAGGUCCGGGCGUUAUCCGGAUUUAUUGGGUUUAAAGGGAGCGUAGGCCGGAGAUUAAGCGUGUUGUGAAAUGUAGACGCUCAACGUCUACACUGCAGCGCGAACUGGUUUCCUUGAGUACGCACAAAGUGGGCGGAAUUCGUGGUGUAGCGGUGAAAUGCUUAGAUAUCACGAAGAACUCCGAUUGCGAAGGCAGCUCACUGGAGCGCAACUGACGCUGAAGUUCGAAAGUGCGGGUAUCGAACAGGAUUAGAUACCCUGGUAGUCCGCACGGUAAACGAUGGAUGCCCGCUGUUGGUCUGAAUAGGUCAGCGGCCAAGCGAAAGCAUUAAGCAUCCCACCUGGGG
rnacentral:rRNA from 1 species